CAACAGGGAUUGCCUCAGUAACGGCGAGUGAAGCGGCAACAGCUCAAAUUUGAAAGCUGCCUCCAGGCCGCGUUGUAAUUUGUAGAAGAUGCUUUGGGUGUUGGCCCGGUCUAAGUUCCUUGGAACAGGACGUCAUAGAGGGUGAGAAUCCCGUAUGUGACUGGUGCCCUCCCCCGUGUAAAGCUCUUUCGACGAGUCGAGUUGUUUGGGAAUGCAGCUCAAAAUGGGUGGUAAAUUUCAUCUAAAGCUAAAUAUUGGCCAGAGACCGAUAGCGCACAAGUAGAGUGAUCGAAAGAUGAAAAGCACUUUGGAAAGAGAGUUAAACAGUACGUGAAAUUGUUGAAAGGGAAGCGCUUGCAACCAGACUUGCGCGCUAUCGAUCAUCCGAAGUUCUCUUCGGUGCACUCGAUGGUGUUCAGGCCAGCAUCGGUUUCGGUGGUGGGAUAAAGGCCGUGGGAAUGUGGCUCUUCGGAGUGUUAUAGCCCACGGUGCAAUGCUACCUACCGGGACCGAGGACCGCGCUUCGGCUAGGAUGCUGGCGUAAUGGUUGUAAGCGACCCGUCUUGAAACACGGACCAAGGAGUCUAACAUCUAUGCGAGUGUUUGGGUGUCAAACCCAUCCGCGUAAUGAAAGUGAACGGAGGUGAGAACUCUUUAGGGUGCAUCAUCGACCGAUCCUGAUGUCUUCGGAUGGAUUUGAGUAAGAGCAUAGCUGUUGGGACCCGAAAGAUGGUGAACUAUGCGUGAAUAGGGUGAAGCCAGAGGAAACUCUGGUGGAGGCUCGCAGCGGUUCUGACGUGCAAAUCGAUCGUCAAAUUUGCGCAUAGGGGCGAAAGACUAAUCGACCAUCCGUAUGGCAUCGUAACCUAUUGAUGUACCUUGCUAUAUCUACAGUUUGUUCAGCUGCUA
rnacentral:rRNA from 1 species